rnacentral:lncRNA from 1 species
ACUUGAAUUAUCAGAGUAAGGAUAUUAAUUACCAGCAACCAAGCAUCAUAUUUUUAAUACACAAGGACAAAAUUAUGUUCUUCCUUCUGCUUUAACACAAGACUAGCUAUGUAAAUAUAAUAUUGCCGAUUAAUAUUUUAUGAUAUAUAUUUCUAAAGGUAUCACAAGAAAGGAAACCCAGAAGAUGGUCACAUGAUGUAUAUUCUCCACCAAUAUCUACCUCCACAUGACUUCAGAAUAGGACAUUUGGUAUAUUAUUUCUCACAGGAAGAUUCACGAAGAGAAGAUGUCCUAUUAGAGAUUAAGAAGUUUCACAAGAACUGUACUUUCUGUGAUAUGUUUAUAAAUUCUAC